GGGCCAGAGUUGAGUACAGAUAUAAUGAACGUGAACGUCCAAAGCACCAGCAGUGACUAUCAAUUUCUCUCCAGCGAUAGCUUCCGUGUUGGAUCCAAAGAUCAUCCCUUCGGUGACAUUAUCCAUGAUAUCUGGAUUACCAGCUUUACCAAUACCGACAAUUAUACCAUUCUUGACACCGAUAUCGGCCUGAUUAAUCAUAUGAUCAGUACACCUGGAGGAAAAUCGUGGAAGGCGGUUUAGUAUAUACCUUAUAGAUACCACUCCAAUCAACGAUCAAGGCGUUUGUAAUGACCAGAUCCAAUACUUCUUCAUCUGAUCUGUUUGAUGCUUGACCUUGUCC
rnacentral:sRNA from 1 species